CCUACGGGAGGCAGCAGUGAGGAAUAUUGGUCAAUGGGCGAGAGCCUGAACCAGCCAAGUAGCGUGAGGGAAGACGGUCCUAUGGAUUGUAAACCUCUUUUGCCGGGGAGCAAAAAGCGGUACGUGUACCGCAUCGAGAGUACCCGGAGAAAAAGCAUCGGCUAACUCCGUGCCAGCAGCCGCGGUAAUACGGAGGAUGCGAGCGUUAUCCGGAUUUAUUGGGUUUAAAGGGUGCGCAGGCGGAGAGUUAAGUCAGCGGUAAAAUUUCGGGGCUCAACCCCGACAAGCCGUUGAAACUGGCGUGCUAGAGUGGGCGAGAAGUAUGCGGAAUGCGUGGUGUAGCGGUGAAAUGCAUAGAUAUCACGCAGAACUCCGAUUGCGAAGGCAGCAUACCGGCGCCCAACUGACGCUCAGGCACGAAAGCGUGGGUAUCGAACAGGAUUAGAUACCCGAGUAGUC
rnacentral:rRNA from 1 species